AGUGAAACAUUGCUGUUGUUCAUUCAAUAUGUUUUUUGCAAUUGGCUUCAGUAAAUAAAUUAAAUUGUCCUGUACAAUUUAAACAAUACAGAUAGAGUCAUGUGAGAUAAUUUAAAAAAUUUGAUUGGUGUAAUUGUGUAAUAUAAAUCAACAGUUAUUUACAAUAGUUAAAUUGACCUAAUGAACAUUUGUUUAUUGAGGGCUCCUUGCGCAUGCGUCGUGUCAUGUUAGAACCUCCAAUAGGGGGCAGCACUGAAAACAACCGCACUUGACUCUGCUCAAUUAAAGCAGCAGAAAUAUCACGACAUGUGCUCUGGAAGUUUCUUGCAUUGCAACCGCAACCAACUGACUCUGGACUGUGCCACCCCAGCGGUAAAAGGGAGUAUCCCACACCACAGCAAUAGGGUGGUGACUCAAAGGCCAACUCUCUGUUGUGCUGCUACUGGCUGGUAAACUCCUUCUGGAUCACUGCAGAGUUUUUAAGGAUCACUACACGUCCAUUGGAGACUACAUUUGCUGCACAGUUGAAUAAACACGCUGCCAAACUCAUGGAAGUUGUAAGAAGGAAAGGAGGAGCUAUUGGAGACAAUGCUGCAGGGAUUCUACAUGAUCAUGAUGAGGCUUCAUCAAACGGUUCACUGAACGCAUCUACACGAAGGCAGUGUCUUCUGAAGUUACUGAUGGUUUUCCUGGGAGACCCUGUGGAUGCAAUCAUCAAAGAACAUCAGGUAUAACAGGC
rnacentral:lncRNA from 1 species